UGCGUCCUACGGGGGGCAGCAGUGGGGAAUAUUGCACAAUGGGGGAAACCCUGAUGCAGCAACGCCGCGUGAGUGAAGAAGGUUUUCGGAUUGUAAAGCUCUGUUAGCAGGGAAGAGGAAGGACGGUACCUGCAGAGGAAGCCACGGCUAACUACGUGCCAGCAGCCGCGGUAAUACGUAGGGGGCAAGCGUUAUCCGGAUUCAUUGGGCGUAACGCGCGCGCAGGCGGGCCGCUAAGCGGGACCUCUAAUCUUGGGGCUCAACCUCAAGCCGGGUCCCGAACUGGCAGCCUCGAGUGCGGUAGG
rnacentral:rRNA from 1 species